UACGUAGGGGGCGAGCGUUGUCCGGAUUUACUGGGCGUAAAGUGUGAGUAGGCGGUUAUGUAUGUCAGAUGUAAAAGGCACAGGCUUAACUUGUGUAUGCAUUUGAAACUGCAUAACUUGAGUGCAGGAGAGGUAAGCGGAAUUCCUAGUGUAGCGGUGAAAUGCGUAGAUAUUAGGAGGAACACCAGUGGCGAAGGCGACUUACUGGACUGUAACUGACGCUGAGUCACGAAAGCGUGGGUAGCAAACAGGAUUAGAUA
rnacentral:rRNA from 1 species